CGUGGAGGUCCGAACCCACGAGCGUUGAAAAGCUCGGGGAUGACUUGUGGGUAGCGGUGAAAUUCCAAUCGAGCCCGGAGAUAGCUGGUUCUCCCCGAAAUAGCUUUAGGGCUAGCCUCAAGGUGAGAGAUACGGAGGUAGAGCACUGAAUGUCCUAGGGGGUAUUGCACCUACCGAAGACUAUCAAACUCCGAAUGCCGUCAUCUU
rnacentral:rRNA from 1 species